GGAGGGGUGGCUGAGCGGUUUAAGGCAUCCGACUUGAAAUCGGACGAGCUCCGCAAGGGCUCCGGGGGUUCGAAUCCCUCCCCCUCCGCCA
rnacentral:tRNA from 1 species